rnacentral:rRNA from 1 species
UACAGAGGGUGCGAGCGUUAAUCGGAGUUACUGGGCGUAAAGGGCGCGUAGGCGGAUAUAUGAGUGUGAUGUGAAAGCCCUGGGCUUAACCUGGGAAGUGCAUCGCAAACGAUAUACCUGGAGUACAAGAGAGGGUGGCGGAAUUUCCGGUGUAGCGGUGAUAUGCGUAGAGAUCGGGAGGAACACCCGUGGCGAAGGCGGCCAUCUGGACCAGCACUGACGCUGAGGCACGAAAGCGUGGGGAGCAAACAGG